CAACUGUACCUCCCAGCUCCCCACCUAUGGGAGAUCUUCUCCCCCAUAAUUGCAGAUAAUAUAACACAAGCGCUCAUGUUCCUCUCGCACUUCAUCAGAGACAUACACUAGCCACUUCACUCCGACAAAGGAGGGAACACCGUCGACUUCCACUGGAACCUGGAUGCUAGGGCAUGCUCUGUUUUGUUCACUAAUUGCCCGGUUUGGAACGCCAGCAUCAUCUAGCCGACUAAAGACGACUUCUAUGGAGACAGCGUAGCCGGUUACAUCGACACACUGAAGAAAAACAUAAUGAUAUGGAACUAGGAUAAGAGUUUUCUAUAGAUAGAGAGAAAGAGAGAAGCUAAAUGUUAAUUAUUCAGACCUUUAUUCGCUCGGUAGCACAGAGAAUGGUCGGAGAAGUGUCCAGCUGGGAAGCAUGCGGCAAGAACCAGACUGUAUGUCCAGAUAUGUAUAUAUGCUUUGCUUCACAUUCAGAUUUUUUGUGCUUGGGCAUUUAA